UGUAAGCGUAUACCAAAGUUGUUGCAGUUAAAACGCUCGUAGUCGGAAUUUGGCAGUUCCGGAAGUGUGCACGUCGUGUGCGCACUUUGCGGGGACUGCUUUUGUGGUCUUGCGUAGGAUGAGGCACUUUCAUUAGUGAACGUCCUCACGCAACCACUCUUUACUGUGAGAAAAUCAGAGUGCUCAAAGCAGGCAUUUGCCGUGAAUGUAUUAGCAUGGAAUAAUAGAAUAGGACUCGGUUCUAUUUUGUUGGUUUGUUGGGACUGAGUAAUGAUUAAGAGGGACAGUUGGGGGCAUUUGUAUUCCGGAGCUAGAGGUGAAAUUCUUAGAUUGCCGGAAGACAAACUGCUGCGAAAGCGUCUGCCAAGGAUGUUUUCAUUGA
rnacentral:rRNA from 1 species